UACGUAGGGACUAGCGUUAUCCGGAAUUACUGGGCGUAAAGGGUGCGUAGGCGGUCUUUCAAGCCAGAAGUGAAAGGCUACGGCUCAACCGUAGUAAGCUUUUGGAACUGUAAGACUUGAGUGCAGGAGAGGAGAGUGGAAUUCCAUGUGUAGCGGUGAAAUGCGUAGAUAUAUGGAGGAACACCAGUGGCGAAGGCGACUCUCUGGUCUGUAACUGACGCUGAGGCUCGAAAGCGUGGGGAGCAAACAGGAUUAGAUACCCUGGUA
rnacentral:rRNA from 1 species